rnacentral:rRNA from 1 species
GAUGAACGCUGGCGGCGUGCCUAAUACAUGCAAGUCGAGCGAACGGACGAGAAGCUUGCUUCUCUGAUGUUAGCGGCGGACGGGUGAGUAACACGUGGAUAACCUACCUAUAAGACUGGGAUAACUUCGGGAAACCGGAGCUAAUACCGGAUAAUAUUUUGAACCGCAUGGUUCAAAAGUGAAAGACGGUCUUGCUGUCACUUAUAGAUGGAUCCGCGCUGCAUUAGCUAGUUGGUAAGGUAACGGCUUACCAAGGCAACGAUGCAUAGCCGACCUGAGAGGGUGAUCGGCCACACUGGAACUGCAACACGGUCCAGACUCCUACGGGAGGCAGCAGUAGGGAAUCUUCCGCAAUGGGCGAAAGCCUGACGGAGCAACGCCGCGUGAGUGAUGAAGGUCUUCGGAUCGUAAAACUCUGUUAUUAGGGAAGAGCAUAUGUGUAAGUAACUGUGCACAUCUUGACGGUACCUAAUCAGAAAGCCACGGCUAACUACGUG